rnacentral:rRNA from 1 species
GAUGAACGCUGGCGGCGUGCCUAAUACAUGCAAGUCGAGCGAACGGACGAGAAGCUUGCUUCUCUGAUGUUAGCGGCGGACGGGUGAGUAACACGUGGAUAACCUACCUAUAAGACUGGGAUAACUUCGGGAAACCGGAGCUAAUACCGGAUAAUAUUUUGAACCGCAUGGUUCAAAAGUGAAAGACGGUCUUGCUGUCACUUAUAGAUGGAUCCGCGCUGCAUUAGCUAGUUGGUAAGGUAACGGCUUACCAAGGCAACGAUGGAUAGCCGACCUGAGAGGGCGACCGGCCACACUGGAACUGAGACACGGCCCAGACUCCUACGGGAGGCAGCAGUAGGGAAUCUUCCGCAAUGGGCGAAAGCCUGACGGAGCAACGCCGCGUGAGUGAUGAAGGUCUUCGGAUCGUAAAGCUCUGUUAUUAGGGAAGAACAGAUGUGUAAGUAACUGUGCACAUCUUGACGGUACCUAAUCAGAAAGCCCCGGCUAACUACGUG